UAUACACAUGGAUGCUCCUCCCUCAACUGCUAUCAUAAAAACAGUCAUCUCUGUCCUGACUAAUUAUCCCAGAUCUCUGCAAGCAGACAAGAUGCUGCCUCGCAUGGCCCUCACCAGCCUGUCCUGGAUGCUGCUGUUUCCUGCUGCUUCUGUCUCAAGUGCAAGGUGGAAGAUGCCAAGGAAGAUGUGCCCUCUUCAUGCAUGAGCUGUCCCCAACGGCUCCCAAUCCUCUGGUCCCUGUCGCUAUGCCUUGUUUAGGAUGAUUAAAUCCAGGUUGGAUGUAAAUCCAUUCUCCAGUGAAGUCUCAGUCUGUGACUCAUUCUGCCUCUCACUUAGCUGGCCUGCCA